UUUUUUUAUGCUGUGUUGCGCUUGUUCGGGUAGCACUCCUCACAGGCCGUUUGGUGUACACUUUUUAUGUUGGUGAGAUGAAACUACCAAAAUUCUGAAAGUGACAAGCCACCAGGGUCUGACAAUCUGGACGGAGAAUUACACCUUAUGGAACAACGGGGACUGUGAAGAGACACACAAAGCAUGACACUGCCGCAGAUGACUAAAAUGGAAACGAUUAGGAACACUGGAAUGCCAACCGCCCACGGGGAAGUCCUCCUGUCAUCUGGAAGGGAGAAUAGGAAGCGGGACCCGCUCGUGUCUCUGUGUCCUCAUCCCAUUGUUUACGAUACAGUCCACGUAUCCACCUGAGCCUGGCAACAGUUGGAGGGUGAUGUUGCUAAUGGCUGUGACAGUUUGGUCUUUGUUAAUGACAGUCCAGUUGUUAGGUGUCUUUAUGGGUACUGCUGCAGAAAUGUUCCAUUGGAUCCAAGGUGCUGGUUUACCCGUGGCAGAGCAGCUGACCACAACUUCCAUGUCUGCUUUAGAUUCAGUGCUGGGGACUUU